rnacentral:rRNA from 1 species
AUUGAACGCUGGCGGCAGGCCUAACACAUGCAAGUCGAGCGGAUGAAGGGAGCUUGCUCCUGGAUUCAGCGGCGGACGGGUGUGUAAUGCCUAGGAAUCUGCCUGGUCGUGGGGGAUAACGUCCGGAAACGGGCGCUAAUACCCCAUACGUCCUGAGGGAGAACGUGGGGGAUCUUCGGACCUCACGCUAUCAGAUGAGCCUAGGUCGGAUUAGCUAGUUGGUGGGGUAAAGGCCUACCAAGGCGACGAUCCGUAACUGGGCUGAGAGGAUGAUCAGUCACACUAGAACUGAGACACGGUCCAGACUCCUACGGUAGGCAGCAGUGGGGAAUAUUGGACAAUGGGCGAAAGCCUGAUCCAGCCAUGCCGCGUGUGUGAAGAAGGUCUUCGGAUUGUGAAGCACUUUAAGUUGGGAGGAAGGGCAGUAAGUUAAUACCGUGCUGUUUUGACGUUACCAACAGAAUAAGCACCGGCUAACUUCGUG